rnacentral:lncRNA from 1 species
AAAACAUUCAUUGGGGUGCCUAGCACUUGGCAAGCAUUCUGGAAGUUACUCAUAAUUGUUAUUCUGAUUAUCAGUCUUAGAGCCUGUAUAAAGUCUUUGGUACUUGGACUACAUACUUCUGAAUGCAAAUGAUAAGCUUUAUCAAUCAUGUUGGAAAAAUACUGUGGGUGUUUUUGCUGCUGUGACCAAAAGACCUGACAAGAACAAUAUUAAAGGAGGAAUAGUUUAUUUUGUUGCUCACUGUUUCAGAGAUCUCAGUCCACAGACAGCUGGCUCUGUUCUUUGGGGCUGCAGCUGAGUCAGAACAUCAUGGCAGAGGAGUGUGGUGAAGGAAAGUGGUUCUACAGAGAAAUUAAGCUCAGCUCACAAAGUAUGUACCCCAAAGACAUGUUCCUAGGGACCCACUUCUAGCCACACCCCAUUUACCUAUAGUUGCCACUUAGUUAAUCCCUAUCAGGGGAUUAAUGCACGGAUUGGUUAAGGCUCUCACAACCCAACAGUUUCUCCUCUAAACCUUCUUGCUUUGUCUCACACAUGAGCUUUUGGGGGACACCUAAUAUUUAAACUAUUACAGUGGAUGGUUUAUAAUGGUGGGGUUUUAUGUUUUCUCCUUAUAGAUAGACAGUUGUGACAUUCUUACCUUUUGUUUAUUUUUCCUUUCUAAUACUACUUAAUGUCCUCUUAAGGGAUAGGCUUUUAGGCAAUUUUAUGUAUAUAUGAAAAAUUUAAAAUAAAUAGGAAAUAACUAUCCACUAUACUUGGUAAAAUGUUGUAUUCUAAUAUCAUACAUUUGAUCACACUAAGUAUACUUCUUUGUAGAAAUUAUAUAUGUAUUAGCAUCUUUUUGGGGGGCACAAAUGUGGCACACAAUAUGAUACUGGGGCCAGGAAAACACUACCUCAAAGCACUUUGAACUGAAAGAGAUUUGGAAGGUCACAGGAAGGUCACUCUGACUGUAGCCUGCCUUUCUGUGUGAAGCAUGCUCAAAAAGGAAUUGUUUGACCUACCUUGCCUCAAAGUAGAUCAUGUGACACUCAGUUCAGUAGGGUCCUGCCUCAUACCCAGGGGGCAGGAAUGCUACAUAGGUAGGCCAAGAAGAAUCUGAACAAACAGGCCUUGCCGGGUUCCCUCUAAAUUUAUUGCCAUCAAAUCACACCCUUUUUGUUCAUCCUCGUUUCUACACAGCUACCCACUUAUUUCAUCAGAGUUGGCAUAAACGCAUACAGUUUUGGUCUUUGAAUCUGUUUCUGAAGGCUCCUG